CUCCUCAUAGGAGAAGCGCAGAUCUCAUGCCUAAGUGUGCCAGGGUCCUGAUGGGCGCCACCUACAGCCUCCCGCCCUCACGCGGGAGUCAGACUGAGCGAACUAGCCCAGGUCCACAGAGACUUCUAAACCCGGCUGGGUGCUGCCAUGGAAAGUACACAGGGCUCAGAUUUGGGGGUAAGGUGACUUAGCCUGGGGUCACGAAAUGUGUAAGGAUUUCUUGGGGUGGCUGUGACAAAUGACCUCUAACCGUGGCUUGAAACAGCAGAAAUGUAUUCUCUCACCAUCACGGAGGCACACGUCAGAAACCGAGGUGCCAGCAGGGCCACGGUCCCCGAAGGCGCUGGGGGAGGACUCUUCCUUACCUCUCCCCACUCCUGGGGCCCCAGGCACUCAUUGUCAUCCCUGGGCUUGUGGCCGCAUCACUCCAAUCUCUUGCCUCCGUCUCUUCCCUUGGCCUUCCCUUCGAGUCUGCAUCCAAACCUCCCUCUCCUUUCUUCUGUUAAGAACCAGUCACUGGAUUUAGAGCCCCUCAAUGCAGUAUGACCUCAUCUUAACUUGAUUACAUCUGCAAAGACCCUAGAUCCAAAUAAGGUCACAUGCACAGCUAGGGGCUGGGUGUGGAGUAGGACCCGAACUUCAUCGGAAACACAGUUCAGGCCACUACAGAAGAAAGUGGUGUUGGAGCUGGAUGCUGGCUGACGGGCUGGGAGCAGCGAGGAGCCGUCCAGGGAAGGGUGUUGAGGCUGGCAGUGUGGAGAGGCCAGGAGGCCACCUUGGAAGGCCCGAGGCCAGGUGGCCGAGGCAGAGGGUAUGAGGGGCGCCCGCUGGCCUGUCUGCACCAGCUCCCCUCAGGUGGAGCCUUUCUCAGGGCCGAGCUUCUUGGCUGUCAGAUGUUCCCACCAGGCUGUGUUCAGCCUCAGAGUCGAUAACUGUUUCCAGGCUGGGCGCCAUGGCUCAUACCUGUAAUCCCAGAACUUUGGGAGGCUGAGGCGGGCGGAUUACCUGAGGCCGGGCAUUGGAGACCAUCCUGGCCAAUAUGGUGAAACCCCGUCUCCACUAAGAAUACAAAAAUUAGCUGGGCGUGGUGGUGGGUGCCGGUAAUCCCAGCUGAGGUAAUCCCAGCUCUGGAGGCUGAGGCAGAAGAAUCGCUUGAACCCAGUGGGCGGAGCUUGCAGUGAGCUGAGAUAGCGCCUCUGCACUCCAGCCUGGGUGGAGCGCCACUGCACUCCAGCCUGAGACUCUGUCUCAAAAAAAAAAAAAAAUCUAUAAUCGUGUUUCCUUUUUUAAACAGGAAACUACUUUGCUUCGCACUUUUUCAUGGGAGGAGAGAAAUUCGACACCCCCCACCCUGAAGGUUACCUCUUUGGAGAGAACAUGGAUCUGAACUUCCUGGGCAGCCGCCCGGUCCAGGUGGGUCUGGACAGGGCUGUCUCAUGGGGCUGUGGGGGUGGGAGGCCCCUGUCCCCAGCAGUCUGCAUCCCAGCCAUGAGGGCAAGCAGGCACCAAAUCACCCCUAAAGGGGGCAGACCUCCUGGCAGGAUUCCAGUUGAGCUUGGGUGUGGGCAGGUGCCCUGGAAUGGGUUGUGUCCUGGUGCUGCCCCCUAGAGGCCAGAUGGCCAGGGGCAGGUCACUGAGAAACAGAGCAGCCAUACUGAAUGGGUGCGUCUGGGCUGCAACGGCUGCAGAACAUUGUAGAUUUGAUUCCAGCCUUCUUGGAUGACUUUCUUUACAAGGCAAAAAUAGUAUUUACAGACUGGGCAUUGUGGCUCACGCCUGUAAUCCCAGCAGUUGGGGAGGCUGAGGCGGGCAGAUCACCUGAGGUCAGGAGUUUGAGACGAGCCUGGCCAAAAUGGUGAAACCCCGUCUCUACUGAAAAAAAAGAAAAAUUAGCCGGGUGUGGUGGCACGUGCCUGUAAUCCCAACUACUCGGGAGGCUGAGGCAGGAGAAUCACUUGAAUCUGAGAGGCGGAGGUGGCAGUGAGCCGAGAUUGCACCACUGCACUCCAGACUGGGCAACAAAGGGAGACUGUCUC
rnacentral:sRNA from 1 species